rnacentral:rRNA from 1 species
UACGAAGGGGGCGAGCGUUGUUCGGAAUUACUGGGCGUAAAGCGCACGUAGGCGGAUACUUAAGUCAGGGGUGAAAUCCCGGGGCUCAACCCCGGAACUGCCUUUGAUACUGGGUAUCUCGAGUCCGGAAGAGGUGAGUGGAAUUCCGAGUGUAGAGGUGAAAUUCGUAGAUAUUCGGAGGAACACCAGUGGCGAAGGCGGCUCACUGGUCCGGUACUGACGCUGAGGUGCGAAAGCGUGGGGAGCAAACAGG